GAUGAAGAACGUAGUGAAAUGCGAUACGUAAUGUGAAUUGCAGAAUUCAGUGAAUCAUCGAAUCUUUGAACGCACAUUGCGCCUGCCAGCACUCUGGCAGGCAUGCCUGUUCGAGCGUCAUUUCAACCAUCAAGCCCUAGGCUUGCGUUGGAGCCCUGCGGCUGCUGCAGGCCCCUAAAAGCAGUGGCGGGCUCGCUAUCACACCGAGUGCAGUAGAUUACUCUUCGCUCAGGGCGUGUGGCGGGUUCCAGCCGUGAAACCCCCUACUUCUCAAGGUUGACCUCGGAUCAGGUAGGAAUACCCGCUGAACUUAAGCAUAUCAAUAAGCGGAGGA
rnacentral:misc_RNA from 1 species